rnacentral:misc_RNA from 1 species
GAUGAAGAACGUAGCGAAAUGCGAUACGUUAUGUGAAUUGCAAAUUCAGUGAAUCAUCGAGUCUUUGAACGCACAUUGCGCCCCCUGGUAUUCCGGGGGGCAUGCCUGUCCGAGUGUCAUUGCUGCCCUCAAGCACGGCUUGUGUGUUGGGCCCCGUCCUCCGAUUCCGGGGGACGGGCCCGAAAGGCAGCGGCGGCACCGCGUCCGGUCCUCGAGCGUAUGGGGCUUUGUCACCCGCUCUGUAGGCCCGGCCGGCGCUUGCCGAUCAACCCAAAUUUUUAUCCAGGUUGACCUCGGAUCAGGUAGGGAUACCCGCUGAACUUAAGCAUAUCAAUAAGCGGAGGA